UUUCACAUAUGGGUGAUCUAAUUCACCCACAUGUGAAUUAGAUUAACAUAUUCAAAUUCACAUAUGGAUGAAUUUAAUUCACCCAUAUGUGAAA
rnacentral:miRNA from 1 species